rnacentral:rRNA from 1 species
AGAAUCAACGCUGGCGGCGUGCCUAACACAUGCAAGUCGAUCGAGAAAGUGGAGCAAUCCAUGAGUAAAGAGGCGCACGGGUGAGUAACACGUGACUAACCUACCCUCGAGUGGGGAAUAACCUGGGGAAACCCGGGCUAAUACCGCAUAAUACCCACGGGUCAAAGGAGCAAUUCGCUUGAGGAGGGGUCGCGGCAGAUUAGUUAGUUGGCGGGGUAAUGGCCCACCAAGACGAUGAUCUGUAUCCGGCCUGAGAGGGCGCACGGACACACUGGAACUGAAACACGGUCCAGACUCCUACGGGAGGCAGCAGUGGGGAAUUUUGCGCAAUGGGGGAAACCCUGACGCAGCAACGCCGCGUGGAGGAUGAAGUCCCUUGGGACGUAAACUCCUUUCGACCGGGACGAUAAUGACGGUACCGGGUGAAGAAGCCCCGGCUAACUUCGUGCCAGCAGCCGC